CUGAUAGAUAUGGUGCUAAGGAGAUUAGUCAAAGAGAGUGCCAGUCUGGCUACCAUUGUUAUAGGCACGAGUGAGCAAAACAAGUAUGUUCUGCACACGGCGUGCAGUUUGAAAACCUUAAUGGCGUCUGUCUACUGGGUAGUAAUAACAACAGACUGGGUCCAGCCAACCUGUCCUCCCUGUCAACUGGAUUCUAUCGUUUACAUCAGGUUACCAUGGGUCUGGCUCAAUACCAGCUUAUAUGACACUCUUCCCCGAGAGGUACGGGAUAACCUCACAAAGAGACAGGUAUAUGAGUUGUGGGACAGUCUGAGUACGGUGAUAGACGUAUGGAAGGCGACACAAAAUGGCUCGAUACUCC